CCGUUCUCAUCAGUCUGCGUAUAAAUAACACGACUUUACACUUUCUAUUUGCGUGUAAUGCAUACGCCAAAUGCCAUUUUUGCGUGCAUAUGAUACGCCAAUCCUUCCCAUUAAUUUCGGUGGAGAGCAGAUGCGUCCAAAUAACACGCAUCAUCUUCAGCGGCAGUGACGUCACCAGCGAGGCUCGUUCAGUUCACCUGAUGCGCGUACACCUUCAAACAGGUAAGCAAGGUUACGUCGGAUUACAUACUCCACAACAACCUGUAAUCCAGCAGAUCUUUAAAGAAGCCAUCUCUUGUAAAAUCUCUCUCUCGCUCUCUCGCUCUGCUAGAAUUAACAGGGAACUUCAACUCCACGCUCCCAAUGCUGAUAUUGAAGAAGUUGUCAAGGGGGCUGAACAAGUCCUUCAAAGGAUCAACCCUUCACAGGAAGGCCUGUCAUGAGAUUUGAAUUUGACCAUCUUGUGCAUUUAUGAAGAAGACCAAAAGCUGCAAAGGCAAACACUUCCAAUGGCAGAAACUGAGAGUUUGCAUGAUGGCAUUUUCUCAGACGCUGAAUCUGAUGUGUACAGAUGAACUCAGGAGCCUACUAGAGUUGCCACGGAACUUGUGCUUGAACUGAAGACCAGAAACGCAAAGAAAAUCAGUCAAACCAGUCCUAAAGAAAUGAGGAAUGAACAUGGACUUCUUGUGCCCCAAAAGAAAAGACAGAAAGCUCCUAAAAUGAGCAAAUAAGCUGUGCAUCAUCUCUGUGAUUUGGGAAGGAAAUUACUGAAUAUGAUGAAGCCAGUUGAUGAAGAUAUCAAUUGAAUGGCCACCGAGUGCAUCACUGCUACCUGAACCCAUCAGUUAUCUGCUGUGAAGACUGCAUUCACAAACCACUCUACUGUGACAGCUCAGAUGUUACGGUCCGUAAAAGUAAACAUCACAGCUAAACAACAAGAGCUAGUUGUGGUGGGAUUCUUUUGGCCAAUAUCCCCAACAAGAAUCAAUGUUAAGUCCAGUGCAACAAUUAUAAAUAAAAAUACUAUAUAUUGUUUAUUGAUUUACCAUACCCUAAAUACAUGUUUUGGCCCUCCAGGACAUCUAGACCAGGUGGAGUGUGAGGAGGACGGUCAGAGACUCCAGCCACCCGAGCCAUGGAUUGCUCUCACUGUUACCAUCAGGCAUGCGUUAUCACAGAACCUACACCAGCAGACAUUGAGACAAGUUCCUUUCACAGGCAAUCAGACUGAACUGAACUCAUACCAGUAAAACCAUACACACCCCACCAACCUCAUAUGCCCUGCACUCUUAUCAGUUACGCUGACUGGACUCAAUAUUAUUAUGCACCCUGACAUUCUGUUUGCACUAAUUCAUACCGUGCUUUACUGCAGAGAUGUAUGUGUACUGUGAUUAUUAUUGUUUUCAAUUCAUGCUCUCUGUAUAGCAUAAUUUUUAACAUAUAUUGUUCUCUACCUGAAUUGAGUCCCUUAUAUAUGUGUGUUGCAUAUAUAUAUAUAUUCAGAAUUUGUAUUUCAUAUAUAUUCAUGAAUUAAUUCAUUUGUCAUCCAUACUGUCACGCUGCAGUCUGCACCCAAGACUUUCAUCACCUGUAUACUUGUGUUCAUUGUAUUGUGACAAUAAAGAUAUUUGAUUUAAA